rnacentral:rRNA from 1 species
GAUGAACGCUGGCGGCGUGCCUAAUACAUGCAAGUCGAGCGAACGGACGAGAAGCUUGCUUCUCUGAUGUUAGCGGCGGACGGGUGAGUAACACGUGGAUAACCUACCUAUAAGACUGGGAUAACUUCGGGAAACCGGAGCUAAUACCGGAUAAUAUUUUGAACCGCAUGGUUCAAAAGUGAAAGACGGUCUUGCUGUCACUUAUAGAUGGAUCCGCGCUGCAUUAGCUAGUUGGUAAGGUAACGGCUUACCAAGGCAACGAUGCAUAGCCGACCUGAGAGGGUGAUCGGCCACACUGGAACUGAGGCACGGUCCAGACUCCUACGGGAGGCAGCAGUAGGGAAUCUUCCGCAAUGGGCGAAAGCCUGACGGAUCAACGCCGCGUGAGUGAUGAAGGUCUUCGGAUCGUAAAACUCUGUUAUUAGGGAAGAACAUAUGUGUAAGUAACUGUGCACAUCUUGACGGUACCUAAUCAGAAAGCCACGGCUAACUACGUG